GACGAACGCUGGCGGCGUGCUUAACACAUGCAAGUCGAGCGAGGUUCAACCGGUGACAACACCGGGGCAGACCGAGCGGCGAACGGGUGAGUAACACGUGAGCAACCUGUCCCGGAGACUGGGAUAACACCGGGAAACCGGUGCUAAUACCGGAUACCCCCACCGAGUCGCAUGGCUUGGUGAGGAAAGACUGAGUCUAAUAAAUUCAGUUCGCUUCGGGAGGGGCUCGCGGGCUAUCAGCUUGUUGGUGAGGUAAUGGCUCACCAAGGCGACGACGGCUCGCUGGUCUGAGAGGACGACCAGCCACACUGGGACUGAGACACGGCCCAGACUCCUACGGGAGGCAGCAGUGGGGAAUCUUGCGCAAUGGGCGAAAGCCUGACGCAGCAACGCCGCGUGGGGGAUGACGGUCUUCGGAUUGUAAACCCCUUUCAGCAGGGACGAAUCUGACGGUACCUGCAGAAGAA
rnacentral:rRNA from 1 species